rnacentral:rRNA from 1 species
AGAGUUUGAUCCUGGCUCAGGACGAACGCUGGCGGCGUGCCUAAAACAUGCAAGUCGAACGGAUAUGUCGAAAUUAAGCGAUUAAUGGAGGCAUAUUAGUGGCGGACGGGUGAGUAACACGUGAACAACCUGCCCUGCACAGGGGGAUAACAGACCGAAAGGACUGCUAAUACCCCAUGAGACCACAGUACUGCAUAGUACAGGGGUCAAAGGAGUAAUCCGGUGCAGGAGGGGUUCGCGGCCCAUUAGCUAGUUGGCGGGGUAAAAGCCCACCAAGGCGACGAUGGGUAGCCGGCCUGAGAGGGUGGACGGCCACACUGGGACUGAGACACGGCCCAGACUCCUACGGGAGGCAGCAGUUGGGGAUAUUGCGCAAUGGGCGAAAGCCUGACGCAGCGACGCCGCGUGAGGGAAGAAGGUCUUCGGAUUGUAAACCUCUGUCGAGUGAGAAGAAGCAAGUGACAGUAUCACUGGAGGAAGCCCCGGCUAACUACGUGCCAGCAGCCGCGGUAAUACGUAGGGGGCGAGCGUUGUCCGGAAUUACUGGGCGUAAAGGGCGUGUAGGCGGUAAGCCAAGUCAGGUGUGAAACCCCCGGGCUCAACCCGGGGCAUGCAUCUGAAACUGGCAUACUUGAGUGCAGGAGAGGGAAGCGGAAUUCCUGGUGUAGCGGUGGAAUGCGUAGAUAUCAGGAAGAACACCGGUGGCGAAGGCGGCUUUCUGGCCUGUAACUGACGCUGAGGCGCGAAAGCGUGGGGAGCGAACAGGAUUAGAUACCCUGGUAGUCCACGCUGUAAACGAUGGAUACUAGGUGU